AGUGAACGCUGGCGGUAGGCCUAACACAUGCAAGUCGAACGGCAGCACAGUAAGAGCUUGCUCUUACGGGUGGCGAGUGGCGGACGGGUGAGGAAUACAUCGGAAUCUACUUUUUCGUGGGGGAUAACGUAGGGAAACUUACGCUAAUACCGCAUACGACCUACGGGUGAAAGCAGGGGAUCUUCGGACCUUGCGCGAUUGAAUGAGCCGAUGUCGGAUUAGCUAGUUGGCGGGGUAAGGGCCCACCAAGGCGACGAUCCGUAGCUGGUCUGAGAGGAUGAUCAGCCACACUGGAACUGAGACACGGUCCCGACUCCUACGGGAGGCAGCAGUGGGGAAUAUUGGACAAUGGGCGCAAGCCUGAUCCAGCCAUACCGCGUGGGUGAAGAAGGCCUUCGGGUUGUAAAGCCCUUUUGUUGGGAAAGAAAAGCAGCAGGUUAAUACCCCGCUGUUCUGACGGUACCCAAAGAAUAAGCACCGGCUAACUUCGUG
rnacentral:rRNA from 1 species